AGUGAAAUUGUUGGGUUAUAUGGUAACUGUGUUUAACCUUCUGAGGAACUACCAGACUGUUUUUCAAAGUGGCUGCACCAUUUUACAUUUCCACCAGCAGU
rnacentral:pre_miRNA from 1 species